rnacentral:rRNA from 1 species
UAGGGAAUCUUCCACAAUGGACGCAAGUCUGAUGGAGCAGCGCCGCGUGAGUGAAGAAGGGUUUCGGCUCGUAAAGCUCUGUUGUUAAAGAAGAACGUGGGUAAGAGUAACUGUUUACCCAGUGACGGUAUUUAACCAGAAAGCCACGGCUAACUACGUGCCAG